GAUUCGAUACUUUAAAAUAAAAGAUCUGAUUUGCAUUUAGAAAAUAAGUUAAAUAACUUUCGGAUCA
rnacentral:tRNA from 1 species